UCAAAAAGCUCCAGUUCAGAAUUAGUGGAAGUCCGUAUAUAUCUUGUCUGCUCAUUAAUGUUAGAACAUGCAGAAGAUACAAAUCCUGCGGAACUUCGUACAUGUCUCGCCUUCUCGUUAGUGUUAGAACAUGCAAAAGCCUAGUUUAAUGGUGGCAGCUGGGUAAUUGCAUAGAGCUCAAACAAUAAUGAAACACUGAUAGAGGAAGGAAGACUGACCUGACAGAGUUAACUGAAGCCAUGGGGAUUGCUGAGGACAAUCCUGGUUAUCUUUGGCUGAAGAAGAACAAGCUCCAUUUUUUUCCAUUGAACAAUUCUUCUCUGAGACGAGAAUCUCUCUUGGCUUUCAAAACAAAUAAAGCUAAACAAAGAAUGCAAGUUAAGAAUUUUGGAAGCUCUAAAUAUAGGAGAUGAGAGAACACAAAGCUGCCGCAUAUGCAGAGAUUGAUUCUUCUCUUCCUAUUUGAUCGCAUCUUUUUUUAACCCCCUUAUGAAUGCUGUGCUAUUGAAAUAAUAAUUCAUUCAGGUAAAAUAUUUAUGUGUCCAUUCAUGAAUUUCUAAUAUUCUUGAUA